rnacentral:rRNA from 1 species
GACGAACGCUGGCGGCGCGCCUAACACAUGCCAGUCGAACGAGCGAGAGAGAGCUUGCUUUCUUGAGCGAGUGGCGAACGGGUGAGUAACGCGUGAGGAACCUGCCUCAAAGAGGGGGACAACAGUUGGAAACGACUGCUAAUACCGCAUAAGCCCACGACCCGGCAUCGGGUUGAGGGAAAAGGAGCAAUCCGCUUUGAGAUGGCCUCGCGUCCGAUUAGCUAGUUGGUGAGGUAACGGCCCACCAAGGCGACGAUCGGUAGCCGGACUGAGAGGUUGAACGGCCACAUUGGGACUGAGACACGGCCCAGACUCCUACGGGAGGCAGCAGUGGGGAAUAUUGCACAAUGGGGGAAACCCUGAUGCAGCGACGCCGCGUGGAGGAAGAAGGUCUUCGGAUUGUAAACUCCUGUUGUUGAGGAAGAUAAUGACGGUACUCAACAAGGAAGUGACGGCUAACUACGUG